rnacentral:rRNA from 1 species
CGGAACACGUACACAACCUUCCGAUAAGUGGGGGAAUAGCCCAGAGAAAUUUGGAUUAAUACCCCGUAACAUAUAGAGUAGGCAUCUUCUUUAUAUUAUAGCUUCGGCGCUUAUUGAUGGGUGUGCGUCUGAUUAGGUAGUUGGCGGGGUAACGGCCCACCAAGCCUACGAUCAGUAGCUGAUGUGAGAGCAUGAUCAGCCACACGGGCACUGAGACACGGGCCCG